rnacentral:rRNA from 1 species
AACCUUUACACUGCACGACAGUGCGAUAAGGGAAUCCCAAGUGCGUAGGCAUAGAGCCUACGCUUUUGUCCACCGUAGGGAGGUGGACGAAUAAGGGCUGGGCAAGACCGGUGCCAGCCGCCGCGGUAAUACCGGCAGCCCGAGUGAUGGCCGAUCUUAUUGGGCCUAAAGCGUCCGUAGCUGGCCGCGCAAGUCCAUCGGAAAAUCCACCCGCUCAACGGGUGGGCGUCCGGUAGAAACUGCGUGGCUUGGGACCGGAAGGCGCGACGGGUACGUCCGGGGUAGGAGUGAAAUCCCGUAAUCCUGGACGGACCGCCGAUGGCGAAAGCACGUCGCGAAGACGGAUCCGACAGUGAGGGACGAAAGCUAGGGUCUCGAACCGGAUUAGAUACCCGGGUAGUCCUAGCCGUAAACAAUGCCUGCUAGGUGUGGCUCCCACUACGAGUGGGUGCUGUGCCGUAGGGAAGCCGCUAAGCAGGCCGCCUGGGAAGUACGUCCGCAAGGAUGAAACUUAA